UACGGAGGGGGCAAGCGUUAUUCGGAAUUAUUGGGCGUAAAGGGCGCGUAGGCGGCUUGGUAAGUCAAAGGUGAAAUCCCUCGGCUCAACUGAGGAAUUGCCUUUGAAACUGCCUGGCUUGAGGCCGGGAGGGGGUAGCGGAAUUCCCAGUGUAGCGGUGAAAUGCGUAGAUACUGGGAGGAACACCAGUGGCGAAGGCGGCUACCUGGACCGGAACUGACGCUGAUGCGCGAAAGCGUGGGGAGCAAACAGG
rnacentral:rRNA from 1 species